rnacentral:RNase_P_RNA from 1 species
GUUCUCUCCAUCCAGACUUAUAGAUUGAAACUUUCCUUGAAAGUUUCGGCUUAUGAGUUACAAACUGCUCUUGAGAGCGUCCUUAGCGUGCAAACGCUGGGCGGUGCUAUCAGAAAUUUACCAGUCCUUACUUCGUAUUGGGACUGGAUGGGAAUGGCACUGCGGAUGGUUGGCCCUCUGAAUGAGAGAGAGGGCUUUUGAGUGCAAUAUGCGAACUUGGAUAUUCCAAGAA